GCCAAGUCACUGGGGCGGUGGGGACGAUACUUCUCAUUUGUAGCCUUUCAAUUUGGUGCUCUGUCUGGCUGUUUUGAGAGCUAAACUCCCCAUUGCUCUUCUGGAAGGAGAGCUCGCUGUCCAGUACUGCGCGGGAUGACCGAGUGAACAGGGGACUGGAGACGAGAUGUGGCUGGAGACUGAGAGAAGCAGAGGAGUCACACUCCACUCACCUCCACCUCCCAAAGUGCCGGGAUCACAGGCUUGUGCCACUGCGCCCAAACAUAACUGAAGGUUUUACAGACAUGUCUGUGGCACCACAGAACACGAACGGUCCCAAUGGAAACCCCACGCCCAAUUUCCUCAGGGAACUGCUGUGGCGGAGGCUUGCACCCCACGUGGUGGCCCUAGGUACAACGGAUUCCGGCGGGCAGAGCGCCUUAGAUCCCGAGUCUGCAGCCCAGGGCAGAGUGCCAACUUCUCCUCAUCCCUUCGUACGCCAUAGAAUGGAAAGACACUGGGGCUCCUCUGUUAGGAGCGUAGGAGGGACAGGCUGGACAAAAGGGCUCCCGAACAGCAGGUUCGGAGGAGAGCAACCCGGCCCUGACCCCCGCCCCCAACACCGUUCCCGACCUCGCUCCCCAAUAUCCCGGCUCUGCACCAAUUCCUCCCGCAAGCCAAGGAACCCCGAGGCACUCCUAGUCUCUAAACCGUUUAUUUCUCCCCACCAGAAGGUUGGGGUGGGCGGGCCUAGAACACAGCGUGCGGCGGGUUCCCGGGUGGAGCCAGCGCAGACAGCGUGGGUCCCUGCGGCUCUUAGGCGAAGGUGGAGUUGUUCCAGCCCACAUUGGCCGCGUUCAUGUCGUAAUAGUUGAUGUAGACCCUGCGGGGGGAGGAGGCCGGACUCAGCGGGUGGCUCAGUCCCGGGCCUGGCCGCGCGCCGCCGCCCCUCCCCCGCCCCUCCGCGACUCCGCGUACCUGUCCGGGCUGAUGCGCAGGCGCUCGGCCAGCAGGCCGCACAGCAGCUUGCUGUAGGAGCGGUUCUGCGCGCCGCCGAUCUUGCCGAUGCUGUGCAGGCUGCAGAGCGCGCACGGCUCGCUGGAGCCGCCGAAGGCCAUGAGCUGGUCCGGGACCACGUGCACCGCGAUGUACUGCGAGGAAAGGGCGCGGUCAGCCCGCCCCAGCGACCUCGUCGGGCCCCGAACGUCCACUUCGGGCCCGAGCCACCGUCCUCCCCCCGCCCCGCCCCCCAGCUCCGUUCAGGAGUCGCCUCCCCAGCUCCCAGCGCGGAACCCCUCGUCCGGUGGGCACCCCCCUCUUCCUGUCCCCUCCCGGCAAACCUGGGGGGGCUUGCCGGUGGCCUGCGCCAGCUGCUGGGUGAGCUCGGAGAGGAACCCGUCCGGCACGGAGGCGCGGGGCACGUUGGUGUUUACGAUGAACAUCGGCAUGAUGGCAGAAGGACCAGGAGACCCGCGCAGAGGCACAGACGCACGCGCC
ensembl:lncRNA MIF-AS1 MIF antisense RNA 1